AUCGUUCAGUUGCAAGACUAGAGACGAAUUUAUAUAGCGAAGCAGAGCAGAGGAGAUCGUCCUUCGGGACAUCCGAUAAAAUUGGAACGAUACAGAGAAGAUUAGCAUGGCCCCUGCGCAAGGAUGACACGCAUAAAUCGAGAAAUGGUCCAAAUUUUUUUUUCCUUCAAAAUCAACCAAGGUAUGGUUCUGGGUUUUGUUUUCUCGAUCAAAAUUUUCGUUGUUUUGCGAGGUUUCUGUCCAAUUUUGAGCCCUGAUGGCACUGUGACUGCCUGCAACUCUUGCUUAUUUGGAACCCAUGGCAAACAUAGCACCUGUUUGACGAAAUGGGUGUGAGAAUCUCGAAUCUUAUUUCUACUGAACUGGGUUUGCAUUUUAUCAGCCUUUGUUUGCUAGUGAAAGUGGAGUUGACCAACUAGUUGAGAUCAUCAAGGAAUUUCAAACCACAUAUUCAGUCACCCACCACUUCAUCACCAGAUGAUGGAUGUUAUUUUAAGGACCCCAUAGAAGUCCUUGAUGCCCAUGAUGGUCAAGUUGUAAGAUGAAGAUUAAGAAGAAAGAAAGCAAAAGCUAUUUUGAUCUGCCAAGCCAAAACAACUAGCAGGAAUGCUUGGAAAGGUGAAGCAAGAUUUCUCUAAAAAUGUUCAAAGGUAGACAUAGAAACUAGUGCAAAUAAUAUGUAUAGAAGAAAUAGUUCCAAAUUUAUACAAGACAUGUAAAAAAUUGAAAAAAAAAAAAAAUACACAAGAAUUUUAUUUGUCAAUACAAUUUUUCGUACGACUGAACCGGCAAUGGGCUACCUGGAAAAUAGAGAAAAUUGUCAUCUGGUUUGCCGGUCUCCGAGAGGACCGGAGAUAUCCUGAUGCUUAAGUUAGAGUUUUCCCAAUGGAUUAGCUAUUUGCAACUUUAGGCUAAAGUAGGUAAACAAAAGGUUAAAAACAUACUCCAUUAAAUUAAGUAAACA